rnacentral:rRNA from 1 species
UACGUAGGCAGCAAGCGUUGUUCGGAGUUACUGGGCGUAAAGGGUGCGUAGGCGGCUUUUUAAGUUUGGUGUGAAAUCUCCCGGCUCAACCGGGAGGGUGCGCCGAAUACUGAGAGGCUAGAGUGUGGGAGAGGAAAGUGGAAUUCCUGGUGUAGCGGUGAAAUGCGUAGAUAUCAGGAGGAACACCGGUGGUGUAAACGGCUUUCUGGACCAUAACUGACGCUGAGGCACGAAAGCGUGGGUAGCAAACAGG